GCAUCGAUGGGGCAUGGACAGCCCACGCCCUCUUCAUUGUAGAAUCUUCUCGAAAUUAAUGGGCCGAGCCCGGGGUUCGACUCCCCGUCGAUGCA